rnacentral:lncRNA from 12 species
GUUUUUCUAAGGAAUAAAUACAUCUUCACAAAAACCACUCCCGCUCAGGAACCCUAGAACAUUUGCCUACAAAUUCCAAAGUGCGUCCCAUCCUCCUAACAGACGAACACCUAACAAAUGUACAGCCUUGUGCUGAGCAUAGGUCUGGAAAAGGGAAGACCAAAGCCACCAGCCACGACAGCAUGCAGAGAAAUGGAGUGCUGAGGCAUCAGAAGGGACUUCCAGGAGGGUGGCAUCACGGUGAAGACAACAGGAAAAGUGGGGACAUGUCGUGCCUGUAAAGAUGGUUUUUACCAAAAGUUCUUACUUGUCUCUGCCGGUUCUCAAUUAGCCGCUCCCGCUCAUCAUUUCGGCUCUGUCGGCCUUCUUUUCCACCAUCUGACUUAAAUCCAUGAACUCAGAGUGACAUUUCCUGUGAUUAUUUCAGAGAAUGUGGGCGGAUGCCUGGUUCCAAAUCACAAGGUAUGCUGUGAGUGGACAACAGUCUUAAGUCCACUUAAAUGGACUCUAGCUUGUCCUCUGCAUUAUUGAGUGGGAAGGGUACAAAGUAGUGCAUGAGAAAAAUGCCAUGAACUCAAAAGAACGUAAAAUGACAAAAUAACACCAGAUACAUGAAUAUUUGCUGGAUAAAUCCUGGUUAAAAAAAAAAAAAAAAAGACAUUUCCAGCCGUCAAAGCGUGUCGAUCCAUGUGGGGCCGCCUGCAGGUUCUCUGUCCCCAUGGUGGGAUUGUGUGUGCAAUGUAAAGGGAGAUGAGGGGAGGGCAGGUGGCACAGGGACCCCGCCAUCCUGAUGCUCCACCAGG